CUGGAAGCUGCAUUGUGGGAAAUGUUAUUUCUACUCAGAAACUCGUGACACCUGGGAGAAUAGUAGACAGUAUUGCUCAGGAAAAAAAUCUAAGCUCCUGAUUAUAGAGGAUGAGACUGAAAUGGAUUUCUUGAACAAACUGAAGGGUAAAGACAUUGGCUUUAUUUGGACUGGAUUAAGCUUUGAUGAGGAGGAAGGAAGAUGGGUAUGGCUCAGUGAUCCCAAACAUCCAGGGCACAGUUUUACAAUAAAAGGAAGGAAGAAAGAAGAAAAAUGUGCUGCCUAUAAAUUGACAGAAAUGUAUGCUGAUAAUUGCCAAUCCCUAUACAAGUGGGUUUGCAAGAAGAGUGCAGUCCUUCUGGGUACCUAAAAUAUUGGAAAGUGAAAGUGAAUAGGGUCUUCAAAGGUUUACACCGCUUUACAGUGUAUAGGAUACCUGAAGUAAAAUUAAGGGGAAAUUGUUGACCAGAAUUGUGGUGAACUCAUGCAUUGUGAUACUACUUGUGAUUAAAAUUCAGGGAGAUUUCAGGCUUGUGUCUCUCUUUUCAGGAUGAAGGUAUAAAAUCUAUGUGUCUUUCUGCAUGCUUAUAUACUGCCCCUUAGAACUAUUACAAUAAGCAGCUUACUAACUUUAAAUAGCUUAUAGAGUUUAAGAGUUGUGUAAGCCACAGGUUUUUUGAGUUUUUUUGUUUGAAAAAUUUUUGACAAUUGCUGGGGAAUUCCUAAAUUGACAAUUGACAAUUCCUAAAGGCAUUGAGCCUAACAUAGCAUAAAAUUGCAAGGAUACCUGUGAGAUGAGUGUUGCUUCUAUAGGUAUGAUGUAAUUAAAACCACAUCCCUCAGCAGAACUUACUUUACAUACACAUCUAUUAUCAGAUAAAUUAUACACAGUGAGAUAAUUUACAAUAAUUUGUGGACACCUGAUGAACACAAAGUUGCAAUGGUGUUAUACAUUUCUACCAUU